rnacentral:lncRNA from 1 species
UCAUACCGAGCUCAGAAUAAAUAGUAAUAUACCUUGCCACACAGGCAAGUCAAAUAAUGCCACACAGGCAAUCAAAAUAAUGCCACACAGGCAAUCACACAUCGGACUGCGCAAUCCAGAUGCAUGCAAAAUCGGAAGGUGUGUUUGGCACAAACAUCACCAAUCCGCAGAACAGAACAGAACAGAAAACUAGGGUCGACCCAUACGCCUCCCACAACAAAACACCAAAUGGCCAACUCCCACCGGAGCACAAAACGGAGACGCCGUGGACUGAUCACACCGCCACGGAAGGUGUCAUGCCUCGGUGCCAAGAGGACAUGCCUGUGGUACCCCCACAGGUGGUUAUAACUCAGGUAUACCCUACGGUAUUCUAACAAAAUAUAAUGUCACAACACAUGCGACAAAAUAUCAACACAAUGGGGUUAUAACAUGUGCAUGUUAAAUCGAACGAAUCGUCAACACAAGUCUCUAAAAUAUACUAACAUGUACAUCACUAUAAAUAUAAAAAUAAAAUUUAGACAUGACACACUAGUCUAAAGAGUACAAUGUGAGUUCUAAUACAACGCCAAAAUAAAUUUAUCACAAUAAAUUGACAAGAAACAAUUAUGAGAGACAAUACUAGAUUUCGAAACGAAUAACGAAACGACUGAAUUAAAAACAAAAGAGUCUUGCUGGAAGAGUACGGAAUCCGUACCUGGAAUCGGUAAUGAAAUACCCAAA